GCUGUACAGAAAAUGAGUCGACCAGUUUGAGGCAUAUGGAUCUAACUGAGGCAUAUGGAUCUAACCACAUUUAUUCGAGAAAACACACUGAACACACUGCGUAUCUCUUCGUUUUCAAGACGUUCAGAACCACGUUGUUGGUCGAAGAUGAUAAGUGUAGCAGGAAUAUUUAGCAAAUUACCCAUUAUCACGACGAUUCGCUAGAAUAUUGUCCACGUGAUCAACAAAAUCAGACAAAUCACGAUUUCUCGACGAAUAGGCUCCAGUAAUGAUAUUUUCUUUCGACGCGCUUCAUUUUGAGCCUAUCGACCAGUAUAAAUUCAGUAUGUCGUGAACACUACGAGACAGAGAGCUUUGGGAUACAGCAGACAGAGCAUUGACAAACAUUGUAGAGUUGGCAAACAGAGAUGGAGGACAGCAGCUGACAAUACAAAGGCAAUGAACAGCCAGCAGGCGAACGACAUAAGAAAUCAGCCGGCAAGCAACUAACCAUACUUUAUUUGCUGCUACAACUACACCAAGAACAAAAAUAACCCUGGACAUUUUGUCGUUUGUAGUAAUGACAGCUAUCAUUCCUUGCGUUGUUUAUCAAGAAUAAAUUGUUCUUUAUCAAAAUUUCAA